GUCGGGAUAGCUCAGUUGGUANAGCAGAGGANUGAAAAUC
rnacentral:tRNA from 1 species